rnacentral:misc_RNA from 1 species
UUUAGUUUUUAGUUUUUAGUUU